UAACUAAUAAGAGAAUUGCACUGAACAGUGUUUCCACUACGACUGCAACGAGCCAAAUUUCAUUGGAAAACAGCAACAAGAAACUGGUCUAGCGAUGACAGUUAAUCAAGAGGGAGUAUUGGCUACUGCCUACUGGAGGUGACAAUGGGAGUUUGUUGUUUUGGGACUCGAAAAGCGAUCAUUGUUUCCAACAAUCCCGAACAAUCGUUCAACCCGGUUCGCAUCUUUUUGACCUUGAAACACCAAUCAUCUACCUCUGUGCAUGUAUUUAAAGUAGGGGAGUUCAGUUUUUGAAUCAUACUCGAAAAAACCAAAAUUCGAGUUGAACUGAAUUCGAAUUCGGCUUUUGAGUUUUCAGACCGU